rnacentral:lncRNA from 1 species
CAGAGGCUGGCGCCCCGGCAGCCAGGCCUCCAGGAAGCCUCCGUCAAUGUCGCCAUCAAGGAGAGAUGGUUGGGGAGGGGGGUGGGGGGACACUGGACAGGCUGGCCCGGGCCCCUGCCGUGUGGCCUUCUGACCCCUGGUGACUCAGGAUGGGCAUUUUAGGGAGCAGGCUGGCUUUGCCCAGAGGCAAGGUGGGCAGCUCCUCAACUUCCCAGAGUGGAUCAUGGAGCCCAGUGCCCCAGCCCUGGGGCCAGCUCCCUGCCUGUGCCGACUCCGGGUUUUGGAGAACAACCGCCAGCCUUGCCCUCUGUUUGGCCGUGGUCUUGGGGAGGCGGAUUGGGGGGAGAAAAGGCCGUAAUCAGAUGUCUUCUCCUGGAGAGUACCUUGCAGCCUCAAGCCGAGCUCCAGGAUCCCUCCAGGCUGAGUCAGGGGUCCCCCACUCCACUCCUGCCCUGUCUUGAUGGUCCACCUGUCUGUCCUGCCCCUGCCACACUGGGAGCCCUGCAGAGGAGAGCAGCGCUGGAUAUUGAGCAGGGGCCAGAGGAAUUCCCUCGCGCAGUGCCCUCGACUUGGCCAGAUGAGCAGGAUCAUCUUCAUUCCUCUGGCAGAUGCAGAAGCAAGGAUCAGAGAGGCCAAGAGACUGGCCCAAGGUCACACAGCAGAAAGUGGCAGGACUCAAAAGCCAAGUCUGGGUCCACUCUCUAAAUAGCCUGGAGCCUGCGGCCACCCUGCUCCCAAUCUGCAGAGGCCUGGGGAUCCCUCUGCACCGCAAACCUCCAGAAAAACCUGGAAGAGGGGUUCUUCACUGCUUAACCCAGAGCAUUUACUUCCGGGGCACAGAGUUGCCCUCCCCACAAAGGAGAAGAAACACAGAGAUACUGACACACACCCCUCGCAGU